rnacentral:lncRNA from 1 species
AACCAACUCCACUUGGCCCUGGCCUGGAUCUGGCUGUUUCCGGUCUGCAUGGGACAGCGGAAGUGCCAGCCAACCAAGGGACCUGAUGUUGGACGUGGCGAAAGUCCGGAACCCGGGAUGCAACACAGCUGAUGAGAGGAGGCUUCAGGUCAGAGAAACUCAGGCAAGAUCCACUGAGAAGGGAGAGGUAAUAAUGCUGAAGCCAGAAGUCUCAGAAAGCAGGAGUAGGACAUUACCCCUUGCUUAAUGCAGCAAGACUAGUAUGUAGGAAGAACAAGAAAAGCUGUGGCCAUCUGGACUGAGAAACUAGUGCUUAGAGGAAGGCAGACCAAGGUGAACACCAUAGACAUUUUCUCUUUUCUAAAUCCCAAGAUUCUUUAACAAAAAUAUGCUGAUCCUGUAUGAUUUUCUAUGUUAUCUGAAGUGAAAUUUAUUUAUAAAUCCACUUAUUUUAGUCAAAUAUAUUAAAGUGAAUAUUGUUUUAAAAGAAAGGAGAUUCUAGUCACUUAUGUUCGUCUUCCAAGGAUAAAUAAGGAAAGAAAUAGUUUUAUAGAAUUAGAAAAUAAAUUCUAUAAAAUUGAUCAAAAGAAC